rnacentral:rRNA from 1 species
GGGCUUUAACUGACGCUGAGGCUCGAAAGCGUGGGGAGCAAACAGGAUUAGAUACCCUGGUAGUCCACGCCGUAAACGAUGAUUACUAGGUGUGGGGGGACUGACCCCUUCCGUGCCGCAGUUAACACAAUAAGUAAUCCACCUGGGGAGUACGGCCGCAAGGCUGAAACUCAAAGGAAUUGACGGGGGCCCGCACAAGCAGUGGAGUAUGUGGAUUAAUUCGAAGCAACGCGAAGAACCUUACCAGGUCUUGACAUCGUGAGCAUAGCAUAGAGAUAUGUGAAAUCCCUUCGGGGACUCAUAGACAGGUGGUGCAUGGUUGUCGUCAGCUCGUGUCGUGAGAUGUUGGGUUAAGUCCCGCAACGAGCGCAACCCUUAUGUUUAGUUGCUACGCAAGAGCACUCUAAACAGACUGCCGUUGACAAAACGGAGGAAGGUGGGGAUGACGUCAAAUCAUCAUGCCCCUUAUGACCUGGGCCUCACACGUACUACAAUGGCUAUCAACAAAGUGAAGCGAGACCGCGAGGUGGAGCAAAACACAAAAAAUAGUCUUAGUUCGGAUUGUAGGCUGCAACCCGCCUACAUGAAGUCGGAAUGCUA